rnacentral:rRNA from 1 species
UACAGAGGUCUCAAGCGUUGUUCGGAUUCAUUGGGCGUAAAGGGUGCGUAGGUGGCGCCGUAAGUCAGGUGUGAAAUCCCGGGGCUCAACCCCGGAACUGCACUUGAUACUGCGGUGCUCGAGUACUGGAGAGGAGAUUGGAAUUUACGGUGUAGCAGUGAAAUGCGUAGAUAUCGUAAGGAAGACCAGUGGCGAAGGCGAAUCUCUGGACAGUUCCUGACGCUGAGGCACGAAGGUCAGGGGAGCAAACGGG